GUGUCAGCAGCCGCGGUAAUACAGAGGGGGCGAGCGUUAUUCGGAAUCAUUGGGCGUAAAGGGCGCGUAGGCGGCUUGGCAAGUCAAAGGUGAAAUCCCUCGGCUCAACCGAGGAACUGCCUUUGAAACUGCCUCGCUCGAGGCCGGGAGAGGGUAGUGGAAUUCCCAGUGUAGCGGUGAAAUGCGUAGAUAUUGGGAGGAACACCGGUGGCGAAGGCGGCUACCUGGACCGGUUCUGACGCUGAGGCGCGAAAGCGUGGGGAUCAAACAGGAUUAGAAACCCGCGUAGUCC
rnacentral:rRNA from 1 species